GCAUAUCAAUAAGCGGAGGAAAAGAAACCAACAGGGAUUGCCUUAGUAACGGCGAGUGAAGCGGCAACAGCUCAAAUUUGAAAUCUGGCCCCAGGCCCGAGUUGUAAUUUGCAGAGGAUGCUUUUGGCGCGGUGCCUUCCGAGUUCCCUGGAACGGGACGCCAUAGAGGGUGAGAGCCCCGUCUGGUUGGAUACCAAGCCUUUGUAAAGCUCCUUCGACGAGUCGAGUAGUUUGGGAAUGCUGCUCUAAAUGGGAGGUAUAUGUCUUCUAAAGCUAAAUACCGGCCAGAGACCGAUAGCGCACAAGUAGAGUGAUCGAAAGAUGAAAAGCACUUUGGAAAGAGAGUUAAACAGCACGUGAAAUUGUUAAAAGGGAAGCGUUUAUGACCAGACUUGGGCCGGUUAAUCAUCCAGCGUUCUCGCUGGUGCACUUUGCCGGUCCAGGCCAGCAUCAGUUCGCUGCGGGGGAUAAAGGCGUCGGGAAUGUGGCUCCUCCGGAGUGUUAUAGCCCUUCGCGCAAUACCCUGCGGUGGACUGAGGUUCGCGCAUCUGCAAGGAUGCUGGCGUAAUGGUCAUCAACGACCCGUCUUGAAACACGGACCAAGGAGUCGUCUUCGUAUGCGAGUGUUCGGGUGUAAAACCCCUACGCGUAAUGAAAGUGAACGCAGGUGAGAGCUUCGGCGCAUCAUCGACCGAUCCUGAUGUUCUCGGAUGGAUUUGAGUAAGAGCAUACGGGGCCGGACCCGAAAGAAGGUGAACUAUGCCUGUAUAGGGUGAAGCCAGAGGAAACUCUGGUGGAGGCUCGCAGCGGUUCUGACGUGCAAAUCGAUCGUCAAAUAUGGGCAUGGGGGCGAAAGACUAAUCGAACCUUCUAGUAGCUGGUUUCCGCCGAA
rnacentral:rRNA from 1 species